GCCGGGCGCAGUGGUGCGCGCCUGUAUAGUCCCAGCUACCCGGGAGGCUGAGGUGGGAGAUCGCUCGAGCCCAGGAGUUCUGGGCUGCAGUGCGCUAUGCCGAUUGGGUGUCCACACUAAGUUCAGCAUCGAUAUGGUGACCUCCUGGGAGCGGGGACCACCAGGUUGACUAAGGAGGGGUGAACCUGCCCAGGUCGGAAACGAAGCAGGUCAAAACUCCGGUGCUGGUAAGUAGUGGGAUCACGCCUGUGAAUAGCAACUGCACUCCAGCCUGGGCAACAAAGCGAGACCCUGUCUCC
rnacentral:SRP_RNA from 1 species